GUCCACGCGGUAAACGAUGAAUGCUAGGUGUUGGUGAGCAAAGCUCAUCGGUGCCGCCGCAAACGCAAUAAGCAUUCCACCUGGGGAGUACGUUCGCAAGAAUGAAACUCAAAGGGAAUUGACGGGGACCCGCACAAGCGGUGGAGCAUGUGGUUUAAUUCGAAGCAACGCGAAGAACCUUACCAAGUCUUGACAUCCCUCUGACGUGAGAGUAAUGUUUCAUUUCCUUCGGGGACAGAGGAGACAGGUGGUGCAUGGUUGUCGU
rnacentral:rRNA from 1 species